CUGUUUUCUCCUUGGUAUUUACAGGAAGCAGAAGAAGAGGAGCAAAAAUGUGCAAAUGAGCUGGAAUUGUUAGAGAAGCAUAAACAAUUGCUUGAGAGUGGUGUCAACGAGGGUCUCAGUGAAGCCACAAAUGAACUGCAUGAUAUUCAGAGACAAUACCAAAUUGUUAUGCAAACAACAACAGAAGAGAGCAGGAAAGCAGGUGAUAAUUUGAAUCGCCUCUUGGAAGUGAUUACUACUCAUGUAGUAUCCAUAGAGAAAUAUCUCGAUGAACAGAAUUCGAAAAUUGACAGAGAUUACGAAGAAUUCAUGUCUGAAGAUCUACUGUCAACCUUGACCAGAAUUCUAGACAGUUAUAAAAAGAAGGCUGAAAGCGUGUAAUUAUCAAAAAGCUGAAGAUGAAAAUUUGUGCUUAUGAAGCUCCAGUGUGGUGUCUCCUAAAAGGAUGGUUACUUCCUGCUUUUAGCAGCUAACUUGGUUUUAAUGACAUGAUAAUGAACUUCCUUUGCUUUACUGACACAAAUAUAGUAAAGGAUUAAAAUAUUUGUAACCAAAAAAACAAAAGCUUUGCUUACUCUUCCUACUGCCAAAAUACUUCUACAGAAUUACAUUGUCUGUGACAAGGCAAUUGUGGAACAACUUAAUUUCUCUUCUUCUUUAUAAAUAGACACCUGUGCUCUCCAGGAACAUUCAGAAAGAUGAGUAUUGUCAGCCUUUAGUUAACAGUGGACUUAGAGAUGGAACCACAAGUGUCAAUAUAGUUUGUGCAUUCUUUAAUAUUUAUAUGUAUUUAACACGAGUCAUGACAGUGCGUGUCCUUCCAUAGGCCUUCAGUUUAUCAGCAAGACCAAAUGUAAAUGUCUUCCAAUCUCCUGCCUGUUAUCUAUGAAACUGCCCAGAGACCUCUCGGGUGUGUAAAAUUAUUUUUCUUUUAGCAAAGCCUCUUUAGAAAGAUCAGUAGUAGUUAUGCAGUAAUCUUGUAAAUUUAGAAAAUGAAAGAUAGAGGCAGAAUUUCAUUUUCAAACUAAAUGCUUACAGUACCAGAUGAAAAACUUACUGUAUUUCUUAAGUAUGUUUAUUAAAUGAGCUCUAGGUAUGACAAUGUGAAUUCUGACAAUACAGCUAAUUAGUUGAAGGUAUAACUAGUCUCGUGUGCAUUGAAAUGGUCUAAAACAUCUGUGUUCUUCUACUAGAUCAGUAAAGCAGACCAUACUGGAUUUUUCUUCUUUAGGAAGAUAAAAGUGGCAUAUGGGGAGUUCCAGUCCAAAUACAUUAAAGAAAACGUAUCCCCGUCUCUUGUUCAAUGCUACAUUGUAAGCAGAGGCAGUAUCUGCUUGUCUACUCUGUUAUAUACCUUUCGUAUUCCUUAAAAAGUAGCCCUGGGUAAUUUAAUUUUGAAUGCUGGUCAGUGAUAAAUGUCACUGAUUCAAGUACACAACAAAGGAACUCCACUGUCUUCAAAAAUGUUUAGUGGUUGAUAGCUAAUUAAAAUAGCUCCUCAAUUUGCUAAUUAAAGUAUUUGAAUACAACACAGAUCCCUUGGGUACAAAUCAAAAUUUAAGUUUAAACUCUGAACACAAACUGCAAAUAAAACUAAAUUGUGUUUAAUUUUUGGCUCUUUUUGCAGAGCAUACGUAAAAUUCUGUUGUCCUGGAUGAAGUGUGUGAAUUUUCUGGCUCUUCUGAGUUUUGCUUUGUUUUCAGAUACUAUAAUGAUGGUGGUAUUUAAAUUUCUUUUUGCCCUUUGUUAUACACUGAAAGCUUACUUUCACAACUAUGACAGCUUGCUGACAAGCAGGUAGCAUUUCUUCUUUUGUUCUCUCUCACCUUUACAAACUCUUACUUUUUUUUUUUUUACAAUAGCCUAUUCCUUUCAAAUCUCAAUUACUUAAAAGCCUUUUUUUUUUUUUAUCCUUCUAAUGUAUUUAUUAUCUAAAGCAAUACUCUCCUAAUUAAGCAAAGCUAUGGGAAAUCCAAAACAAUCACGUUCCUUUAAAAUAAUUGCUUAUUUAGGGACUACAGUCUUCAUUGGCUUCCUGAUACUUGUUUGUCCCUACUUUUGUAACUGACUGUUCCCGUGUCUAUUAGUAUCUGCAGCCUCAUUGCAUGGGGCGUAGUCAGUUGACUGAGUAAACACAAUUUCAAAGGACUAAUGCUAACCCAAUAGUAAUGGGUUAAAGAAUCAAGGUCAGAACGACCUUCCUUUGUAUUCUGGAUUGUGGCUUUUAAAUAGAAUAUAAUUACUGCUUGGAUUGUGUUGUUUUGUUUUGUUUUCUUAGUUUGGUUGGAUUUUUUCAACCAGAAUGUAAAGUCUUAAUCAAAAUGUACCACUGGCACCUGCAUAUUCCAAUAGUAUGAGUAGUUUGUAAUUUUGGGGGGGUAUUGGUAGGGGUACAGUUCUCUCAUUUAUUACUAAUAUAUCUUUUGUAUAGCUUUCUUAAUAUGUCUCAAGGCUAUGUAUUUUAAACUCAAUAAAAUUACUUAAACAUGUUUCUUUGAA